rnacentral:rRNA from 1 species
GUAGGUGAACCUGCGGAAGGAUCAUUAACUAAAUCCAAACCACCUCAACCAAGCUUUUAAUAAACAACCUAACCAAAAGAAAUCUAACUAAGAUUCAACCUAAAACCAAAUCCUCAACGAUGGAUAUCUAGGUUCCUACUACGAUGAAGAACGCAGCGAAGUGCGAUAAGCAAUGCGAAUUGCAGAGCCGAGAGUCAUCAGAUUUUUGAACGUAACUGACACCGGAGAGUUCUCUCUUCGGUAUGCUUCUUUCAGUGUGUGAUUAUCUCAUCACCCAAACCUUAAUGCGAUAGAUGCCCUUCUAUUGCUAAGCUUGAAAGCACUCUGUACCCUGCAGCUGAGGUCGCAAGACUGAAGCACUCAAUGCAGUAGUCACAUUCUCAAAUGUGAACUCAUUGAGCGUAGAGUCAGUGUAUGUUUACAUACCAGUGCUUGGAUACUAAAAUUUUCUCAGCAUCUGAAAUGAAGUAGGACCACCCGCUGAACUUAAGCAUAUCAGUA